rnacentral:rRNA from 1 species
AAUCAACGCUGGCGGCGUGCCUAAUACAUGCAAGUCGAGCGGGCCUCCGGAGGUGCUUGCACCUCCGGAAGGCCAGCGGCGGACGGGUGAGUAACACGUGGGCAACCUGCCUUUGAGGCCGGGAUAACACCGGGAAACCGGUGCUAAUACCGGAUGCGUCCGCUUUCGCGCCUGCGAGAGGGGAGAAAGACGGUCUUUAAGGCCGUCGCUCAAAGAGGGGCCCGCGGCGCAUUAGCUGGUUGGUGGGGUAAGGGCCUACCAAGGCGACGAUGCGUUGCCGACCUGAGGGGGUGAUCGGCCACCCUGGGACUGAGAGACGGCCCAGACUCCUGCGGGAGGCAGCAGUAGGGAAUCAUCCGCAAUGGGCGAAAGCCUGACGGUGCAACGCCGCGUGAGUGAGGAAGGUUUUCGGAUCGUAAAGCUCUGUUGUGAGGGAAGAACAGCUUCCGGAGGAAAUGCCGGGAGCCUGCCGGUACCUCACCAGAAAGCCCCGGCUAACUACGUGCCAGCCGCCGCCGUAAAAC